GUGCUUGCUUUAGCAACACAUAUACUAAAAUUGGAACAAUACGGAGAAGAUUAGCAUGGCCCCUGCACAAGGAUGACAUGCAAAUUUGUGAAGCUUUCUAUAUUUUU